GUACCUCUACGCCGCUUCGAAGAUGGUAGUGUGUCACAGAAAGCCACGGUACAGAAAUGGUCUAUUUGACAUGAGAGGGCCAAGGUUCCUCACUAGAGCAUUAGGACCGGUUCUCUUAUGUCUGAGGGAUUGUCCUAUUAAAAAGGUCUGACAUUCCAACUACAUGUAGAUCUAUACAUGAUUAUGAGAGAAAACACCCAGAAACUAUUUCCUGAGGAACGUGUAUAAACUAGUGAAUUGAUGGUUUAACUUCCAAGAUGUAAUGAGAGAUGUCAAGUAAUGAACAAAAAGAAGUAUCAUGAAGUUAGACAAUACAACUUGAGGUGUCAGAAUAUAUAGAUGGGUUUUGUCAAAAUGUGAACUGUAACACUGGGAUCAAAUAUGUGAUUUUUUUUCUAUAUUUUCAUAUCUAUUUACUGAGUUUAUUGCUGCCCAAAACGAGGUUAUUGCCUCUACUUUACAACAUAAUUUGUCAUACAUAAUUUGAUUGUAUAUCUUUUUGUGACAAUAAAUGUUGAUUAUUAGG